UGGAUCCAGACUUUGAUCAUGGCUCAGGACGAACGCUGGCGGCGUGCUUAACACAUUGCAAGUCGUACGGGACGAUUGAAAGCUUGCUUUUGAAAGUCGAGUGGCAAACGGGUGAGUAACGCGUAGACAACCUGCCGUAAAGAUGGGGACAACAGUCCGAAAGGACUGCUAAUACCGAAUGUUGUGGAACUUCCGCAUGGGAGCUCCACUAAAGAUGGCCUCUACUUGUAAGCUAUCGCUUUACGAUGGGUCUGCGUCUGAUUAGCUAGUUGGUGGGGCAACGGCCUACCAAGGCGACGAUCAGUAGCCGGUCUGAGAGGAUGAACGGCCACAUUGGAACUGAGACACGGUCCAGACUCCUACGGGAGGCAGCAGUGGGGAAUCUUCCGCAAUGGGCGCAAGCCUGACGGAGCAACGCCGCGUGAGUGAAGAAGGGUUUCGACUCGUAAAGCUCUGUUGUCGGGGACGAACGUGGAGAUGGUGAAUAACCAUUUCCAAUGACGGUACCUGACGAGGAAGCCACGGCUAACUACGUGCCAGCAGCCGCGGUAAUACGUAGGUGGCGAGCGUUGUCCGGAAUUAUUGGGCGUAAAGGGAGCGCAGGCGGGAGAUCAAGUCUAUCUUAAAAGUGCGGGGCUCAACCCCGUGAGGGGAUGGAAACUGGUCUUCUUGAGUGCAGGAGAGGAAAGCGGAAUUCCUAGUGUAGCGGUGAAAUGCGUAGAUAUUAGGAGGAACACCAGUGGCGAAGGCGGCUUUCUGGACUGUAACUGACGCUGAGGCUCGAAAGCGUGGGGAGCGAACAGGAUUAGAUACCCUGGUAGUCCACGCCGUAAACGAUGAAUGCUAGGUGUAGGAGGUAUCGACCCCUCCUGUGCCGGAGUUAACGCAAUAAGCAUUCCGCCUGGGGAGUACGGCCGCAAGGCUGCAACUCAAAUGAAUUGACGGA
rnacentral:rRNA from 2 species